UAGAAGCUUGCUUCUAUGACGUUAGCGGCGGACGGGUGAGUAACACGUGGGCAACCUGCCUGUAAGACUGGGAUAACUUCGGGAAACCGAAGCUAAUACCGGAUAGGAUCUUCUCCUUCAUGGGAGAUGAUUGAAAGAUGGUUUCGGCUAUCACUUACAGAUGGGCCCGCGGUGCAUUAGCUAGUUGGUGAGGUAACGGCUCACCAAGGCAACGAUGCAUAGCCGACCUGAGAGGGUGAUCGGCCACACUGGGACUGAGACACGGCCCAGACUCCUACGGGAGGCAGCAGUAGGGAAUCUUCCGCAAUGGACGAAAGUCUGACGGAGCAACGCCGCGUGAGUGAUGAAGGCUUUCGGGUCGUAAAACUCUGUUGUUAGGGAAGAACAAGUACAAGAGUAACUGCUUGUACCUUGACGGUACCUAACCAGAAAGCCACGGCUAACUACGUGCCAGCAGCCGCGGUAAUACGUAGGUGGCAAGCGUUAUCCGGAAUUAUUGGGCGUAAAGCGCGCGCAGGCGGUUUCUUAAGUCUGAUGUGAAAGCCCACGGCUCAACCGUGGAGGGUCAUUGGAAACUGGGGAACUUGAGUGCAGAAGAGAAAAGCGGAAUUCCACGUGUAGCGGUGAAAUGCGUAGAGAUGUGGAGGAACACCAGUGGCGAAGGCGGCUUUUUGGUCUGUAACUGACGCUGAGGCGCGAA
rnacentral:rRNA from 1 species